AGAGCGAACGCUGGCGGCAGGCUUAACACAUGCAAGUCGAGCGGGCGUAGCAAUACGUCAGCGGCAGACGGGUGAGUAACGCGUGGGAACAUACCUUUUGGUUCGGAACAACACAGGGAAACUUGUGCUAAUACCGGAUAAGCCCUUACGGGGAAAGAUUUAUCGCCGAAAGAUUGGCCCGCGUCUGAUUAGCUAGUUGGUGAGGUAACGGCUCACCAAGGCGACGAUCAGUAGCUGGUCUGAGAGGAUGAUCAGCCACAUUGGGACUGGGACACGGCCCAAACUCCUACGGGAGGCAGCAGUGGGGAAUAUUGGACAAUGGGCGCAAGCCUGAUCCAGCCAUGCCGCGUGAGUGAUGAAGGCCCUAGGGUUGUAAAGCUCUUUUGUGCGGGAAGAUAAUGACGGUACCGCAAGAAUAAGCCCGGCUAACUUCGCGCCAGCAGCCGC
rnacentral:rRNA from 1 species